GCAGUUAUUUUUUUUCAAUGUCUUUUUUAUUAUUUAAAAUAAUUAUCUGAGUAAAUUCUAUUUUAACAUGAUUAUUUUAAAGGUAUUACAUCACAAAUGCUUAAAAAAUUCAAAAGAUGGUGUUAAGAAUAAAAAAAUUAUGAUGUAAGCUACUAGAUGCAUUUAUCAAUAUGUUUUAAUACAAUAAAAUGUAUUUCAGCGAUGCAUUCUCAAGAAGGAAGAGAUUAAUGAACACUACCCUCUUACAAUGAACAACACAUGGAUACUCUCGGGAUGAUCCCUUUGCUUUCAUUAAGAGUUCCAAGAUGUGGGUCUGAUUGACUGGGGUGUGAAAUGUAACAGCCAAUGGUGUACUUAAGGUAAGACUGUCAGUCCCAAUAUUCAAGAGGAAAACCCCCUACAUAAACAAAUACAUGGGCGCAGACAUUUUGGACACCCAACGUUGCGCGGAGGAGAAAAUACUAGCUGGCGCGUGAUUGGUCGAUAAGAGAAGAGAAUUGUUAUGUAUUUGACAAGUGAAAUAAAGUUGAUAAAAAUGUCAUAUCAAGACUUGGGUUUCUUUGAGGUAUAUAGGAGUUACAGCGAUGCAUUCUCAAGAAGGAAGAGAUUAAUGAACACUACCCUCUUACAAUGAACAACACAUGGAUACUCUCGGGAUGAUCCCUUUGCUUUCAUUAAGAGUUCCAAGAUGUGGGUCUGAUUGACUGGGGUGUGAAAUGUAACAGCCAAUGGUGUACUUAAGGUAAGACUGUCAGUCCCAAUAUUCAAGAGGAAAACCCCCUACAUAAACAAAUACAUGGGCGCAGACAUUUUGGACACCCAACGUUGCGCGGAGGAGAAAAUACUAGCUGGCGCGUGAUUGGUCGAUAAGAGAAGAGAAUUGUUAUGUAUUUGACAAGUGAAAUAAAGUUGAUAAAAAUGUCAUAUCAAGACUUGGGUUUCUUUGAGGUAUAUAGGAGUUACAGGUAAAAAUUUGAAGGGAGGGAUGCACUUUGGUUAGAGAUUUUCAUUUGGUGUCAAACGCACCUAGUUGUAAACAAAUGGAAAUUGAAAGUAAAAGUGCAACGGCACGGUAUAUUUUUU